AUUGAACGCUGGCGGCAUGCUUUACACAUGCAAGUCGAACGGUAACAGGGACUUCGGUCUGCUGACGAGUGGCGAACGGGUGAGUAACAUAUCGGAACGUGCCCAGUAAUGGGGGAUAGCUCGGCGAAAGCCGGAUUAAUACCGCAUACGCCCUGAGGGGGAAAGUGGGGGAUCUUCGGACCUCACGUUAUUGGAGCGGCCGAUAUCGGAUUAGCUAGUUGGUGGGGUAAAGGCCUACAAGGCGACGAUCCGUAGCUGGUCUGAGAGGAUGAUCCGCCACACUGGAACUGAGACACGGUCCAGACUCCUACGGGAGGCAGCAGUGGGGAAUUUUGGACAAUGGGCGCAAGCCUGAUCCAGCCAUGCCGCGUGAGUGAAGAAGGCCUU
rnacentral:rRNA from 1 species